GAGACAAUACUUUUAGGGGUCAUUUCCGUACAGUUUGUUACUGGAGAAGUGUCUCUGAACGUGCAGAGCGCCGGCCACCACAGGGAGGAGGCACGGCAUUCUCUCCUGAGCGUGAAGCUGGCUCUGGGUGCUGCUUCUGCUGCUCUCAUUUGCCAUUGAUAAUCUAUCGUCCUUCUCUUCCUUUGGGAGAGUAGAGGGAGAAGAUGUCAUCUGAGU